GACUUUCGUGUGCUACAGUCCAGUGAGUUCCGCAAUAAUCACCACUUACCGCGGUCGUCGUCGUCGUCGCCGCACGGUCGUCGUACAACAAUAUUAUAAUAUUUUAUUAUUAUUAUUGUUAUUAUUAUUAUUAUAUUAUUAUUAUUAUUCUAUGCCCGUACGGUAUCGAAACGCGCAACAUAAUAAUAUACACACACGACCGCCGCUGUUCCACUGCGUGCACAGUACACACGACGCCGUCGACCACGAUACCGUUGAUAUUCGUUAUCGCCGGACACGCCGCAUCCAGGCGUGUAUUUAAUACGAAACACCCGCGCCGAACGACGAAAGAAAAAAUAUAUAUAUUUAUACAAUAUAUUAUAUUAUAUCCGCUCCGUCCGCGUCGACCGGUACUGCGCCCGUGAUUUCUG